GAGAGGACCGACAAGAUUUCCAAAACACUCCUAAAAAAAUUAAAAAGUUUGGCGCGCAUUUUGCCGCCAAUUCACCCAAUCCUAUAGGCUAUAACCCCGGCCUCGUUUGAGCAACUAAAGGAAAACCCAUCAGUUUCAGCGCUUUCUCCUCUCCUUCUCCAUCCCGGUGAGGUCGGCGCCCUCUUUCUCUCCACUGUCGCGUCUCGUCAUCUUCGUUAACCUUCGUAUCCUGUAGCAUGUUUCAUCGCUUGCUUCCUGUUGCAACAUUCGCGAUCACCACCACCCUUUCGAUGAGAAGGGGAUCCCUCGCCCACAACCAUCUAUUGAGGUGAUUUUGAUUAGAAGAAUCAUACUCUGCAGAAAGAUAUUCGAAUGUUGAUGGCGCUUCCUCCAUUCGCACCGAAGUCGUGCUUAUUUUUCACGGUGGUGGAAGAGAUGGGUUGGUCACAACUUUGCAACUACAAAGCUAGAGGUCAUUGUAUGGAUACGACUGCCAAUAUUUAGAUUUGGUAUGGAGACUAUGGACUAUAGUAUGAGUCUUGAGGAAAACUCAUUUGUCGUUGUUGCAAAUGGUAGACGAACUUGAGAGGCUAGUUAGCAUAUUUGUCAUUCAUUUUUGCCUGAAAAUUGAUCUAGCUAGGCUUUAUUUUUUUGGCUCAAUACCCGGACCAUGUAACAUGUUUGAUUCUCUUAUUUGUGUGUAAAACGCUUUUAGAUUAAUAUAUUAUAAGUUCACAUUUUGGCCUUUUCAA